rnacentral:misc_RNA from 1 species
CCUGAUCUGGAGGAGAGGAAGUCCUCGAGCUCGGCUGCGUGAUUUGUCGUUUCGCUUUCGUUGGGGAAGCUUUUGCUGCGUCUUACGGGGCAAAUCGGUGGCACCCUCUGCCGUAGGAUCGGCCAUCGGGACCUGGACAAUACUGUCUGGGAUGGGCAAUGGUUUCGCCACACCGAUGCGCACGGUGCCCUUAGGGGCGCCUUUCAGCGCCUGCACCGCCUGGUCCAGCGUUGCAUUCUCCAGGGCGAUAUCAUUGACGAAAAGAAGACGAUCGCCUGGUAUUAACUGACCAUCUACUUGAGCUACGCCACCGGGCACCAGUGAUCUUAUUACUAUCACAGUCUCAUUGGGGUUCAUUGGAUCCUAGAACAAACAGAUGGAAGAUUGUUAGUGUGCUGGUUUUAAAGUGUGUGCUGGUAAAG